AUUGUUUCUGGUGGAAGCCCAAUAAGAUCACUUCUCUCGCACUCACACAUCACACACCUCACAGUCUCACCGCUCAAGAAAAAAAUGAGUCUCACACGGUGCUCUUGCCUGAUCCCCUUUUCAUCUUGUUCUAUCCCCUCUGUACAAAUUUUGUUCCACCCGAGCGCUAUGGAUUUAAUUCCGAACACCACCUCAGUUUCCCCUCUUGAUUCCUUGCCGUGACCUUGCUCUUACACACCUGCACGCACGGGGUGGCCAUCUCGUGUGCCUAAUUUGGCUCCCUGUACGCCUCCUCGAUCUGCUAAGCCGAACGGCGAUGGAGGGUUAGCAGGGCUCGAUGAGAAGCUGCCCAAUGGAGGAGGCGAGCUUGUCGAUCUUGAAGUGCCGCGGUCGUCGGCGUCCUUGGAGGCGACGUGGGCGUUGAUUUCGUCUCGCACAUCCAGCUUGAAUCCACCUCAAUUGUGAGGAUGCUGGCGACGUGUCUUCCAUCGCAUCGUGGCCGUCCCGGAGCGAGGCGCCCCAGCAGGUCAUCUUCAUCCUACUUCGGCGGCUCAUUUUUCACCUGCAGCUUGGCCUACUUCCUGUAGCAUAGACUGUAUCUCCGGCCAAGCUGCGUUCAACAUGAAUGUCACAAAUAGGGGAAUAAUAAUGGAUACUGCAUAGCCGUGAAUUAUGAAUGGUUCUUUGAUAUUCUUCUCGGCCUUAUCUCUUUGUACUGAACAAUGAUAUCACAUCCUUUUCUAUUCCCUAUUGUAUCAUUCACAAUCAAGCCUGCAACUUUGGUUGCCAUUCUGAGUGUUUUUGCUAGUCUAUUAUCGCUAUCCAACAUAUUUUUAAGGCCCUCGACAGUAUGACGAUUGGUUGACUCCCUUGUGUAUUCUGAUGCUGGCGCGUUAAUCCUAUUUUUACCUCAUUUGUAGGGUCAUAGGUGCAUAACUGCGCUGUGCGUGUUUUAUCUUUACCUUCAGGUAGUAGUGUUCCUAUUUUGUGGUAUUUUUAGCCAUUCAUUCCAAAUACAUAAGGUCCAUGACCAUUGUUUAUUUUUAUGUCUACCUUUCCUCCCGUUGAUAUGAAAGCGAACAUGGACUUGUACAAUCUGAAUUUUUUUCAUGUUGUUUUUCCACCUCUUUCCAUUGUGUUUCCUUAGCAAUUUGGUGUUAUCCAGCGGCUCUCUCAAUAGUGGCAAGUCAACCUUGCCUGUUGGUAGCAUAAUCUGAAAGAUGGCAUGUUCUCGCUCUACCUGAAGUUCUUUCUUCGUACCAGAAAAUUGCAUCACAUCACUCACUUGCAACUUGGGUUUCUUACGUUCCAAAUUUCCAUAUCUGCCCUCUCCAACGUCCUGUUCAAGUUUCCUAAUUCAGCAUCAAUUUAAAAUUCAUACUGUCUAGUUGUUCUUGUUGGUACUGAAACAAACUUGAUAGAACUUACAUAUUUGGUGGUUUUUUCUCUAUCCUUGUUUUUUCUGUCAUACACUUUGUGUUAUUUUUAGUUGUUUACACGCCCCUAAAAGAAAUACCAGGUUCUUGAAUGUCCAAAUUGUAGAUAUUUUGAUUGAACUUCCUUGAUACUUACCUCUUAGUCAUACCAGCCUGACUGAUUAUUGAUUUUGUUUUUGUCACUGGUUCUGGAUUGUUCUUUCUUCGUAUUUUUCUUUUCCUAUAUAGUCUUACAUCUCUAGCUAUCUCUGUUGUAUUACUUGCCCUGCAUAAGCAUAAAUACCAUAGUAGAAAUAAGAGAUUUUUUAGGUGUGCAUUGUACUGUCGUUUCUGUUCUUGCUGUUGGGAAAAGAUUGAACUGUAAGAAUAAGAUAAGAUUGUAAUCUAGGAUGCAAAGUUGAUGUAUAAUAACCACCGAACAAUCACAAAGGAAACUUAGGACAUGAAUGAAAAGCUUAUUUGAUUAUGUUGUCAUACCUCUUGUUUCUGUUGGUGCUUUUGAGAAAAUAUUAAACUAUAUGUCAUUUCUACACGAUCUGUGCAGAUGGUACUUACUGGAGGGUCGCUCGACCGAUGGCGCAAUUGAGGAUAUUGGGGGAACUUGCUUGCGAGAGUUCCUUUUCUUCUUUGAGGGAAAGCCAUCAUGGUGGUGUAUAUUAAUUUGGAGUAACUGUAAUAGCAACAUCAUGAUGACGACAAGUCUAACCUAUCAUGAGUUUGUCUAUGGAAUCAUGAGAUUGAUUGUGAGAUUGGUGUAAAGAAUAUGUGAUAGGCCGUAAGAUUGAUCAUGAGAUUAGUGUAUAUGUUAUUGGAAACAAAAACAAAAGAGAAUACAUGCAAAUGAUCAGUGCAAGGUUGGAUUGUU